AUUGCACGCUGGCGGCAGGCUUAACACAUGCAAGUCGAGCGAGCGGCGGACGGGUGAGUAAUGUCUGGGAAACUGCCUGAUGGCGGGGGAUAACUACUGGAAACGGUAGCUAAUACCGCAUACCAUCAGAUGUGCCCAGAUGGGAUUAGCUAGUAGGUGGGGAAAUGGCUCACCUAGGCGACGAUCCCUAGCUGGUCUGAGAGGAUGACCGGCACCACGGGAACUGGGACACGGUCCAGAUUCCUACGGGAGGCAGCAGUGGGGAAUAUUGCACAAUGGGGGCAAGCCUGAUGCAGAAAUGCCGGGUGUGUGAAGAGGGCCUUCGGGUUGAAAAGCACUGUCAGCGAGGAGGCGUUACUCGCAGAAGAAGCACCGGCUAACUCCGUGCCAGCAGCCGCGGUAAUAC
rnacentral:rRNA from 1 species